AAUCAACGCUGGCGGCGUGCCUCAGACAUGCAAGUCGAACGAUUAAACUUCCCUUCGGGGAAGAUAUAAAGUGGCGCACGGGUGAGUAACACGUAGGUAAUGUACCUUUGGGUGGGGAAUAACUUAGGGAAACUUAAGCUAAUACCGCAUAAUGCAGCGGCUCCUUCGGGAGACAGUUGUUAAAGAUUUAUCGCCUAAAGAGCAGCCUGCGGCAGAUUAGCUAGUUGGUAAGGUAACGGCUUACCAAGGCUACGAUCUGUAUCCGACCUGAGAGGGUGGUCGGACACACUGACACUGAAUAACGGGUCAGACUCCUACGGGAGGCAGCAGUCGGGAAUUUUGGGCAAUGGGCGAAAGCCUGACCCAGCAACGCCGCGUGAAGGAUGAAGUCUUUCGGGAUGUAAACUUCGUAAGAAUAGGAAGAAUAAAUGACGGUACUAUAUGUAAGGUCCGGCUAACUACGUG
rnacentral:rRNA from 1 species